UUAAUUGAAACCAAAAAGAGGUAUACCACUGUUAAUGGUAUCAUUGAGGCCACACCCCCGAUUAAA
rnacentral:tRNA from 1 species